CCAGACUCCUACGGGAGGCAGCAGUGAGGAAUAUUGGUCAAUGGGCGCGAGCCUGAACCAGCCAAGUCGCGUGAGGGAUGACGGUCCUACGGAUUGUAAACCUCUUUUGCCGGGGAGCAACGGGGUCCUUGCGAGGGCCCGAUGAGAGUACCCGGAGAAAAAGCAUCGGCUAACUCCGUGCCAGCAGCCGCGGUAAUACGGAGGAUGCGAGCGUUAUCCGGAUUUAUUGGGUUUAAAGGGUGCGUAGGCGGCUUUUUAGGCCGGGGCUAAAGUGCGGGGCCCCCCCCCCGCCCCGCCGUUGAAACUGGCAGUCUCGAGUUGGAGAGAAGUAUGCGGAAUGCGCGGUGUAGCGGUGAAAUGCAUAGAUAUCGCGCAGAACUCCGAUUGCGAAGGCAGCAUGCCGGCGCCACACUGACGCUGAGGCACGAAAGCGUGGGUAUCGAACAGGAUUAGAUACCCGGGUAGC
rnacentral:rRNA from 1 species